UGUUCGGAAAGCCCCCCCCCCAGAGCCAAUUGACUUCACUGAGUGCCCAAGUGACUGAACCAGGAGACCACCUCCGCCACCACAGAGGUCUGGGAGGAGCACCUUUGUCCUGGUGGCAUCGGUGGGCUCCUUCUGACGUCACAGACUGCGCAACUCAAUCCGAUUGCCACCGCUGGGCCACCGCAGACCAGGGAGAUGACCGGAGCUUCCAGGUUUUUCUUGAGUAUAUGUGGAGGGAGAUGACUAAAUUGAACGUGGAACCCUGCUACAGUGGAUACGCUGGAGAGUCAUAGCCCUGAAGUGCUUCAAAAAUGUUCCAGAGCCUGGCUUCCUCCAACUUCUAUUUUGAAAAUUUUAGCAGAA